CAGCAGCCGCGGGAAUACGUAGGUGGCAAGCGUUGUCCGAAAUUAUUGGGCGUAAAGGGCUCGCAGGCGGUUUCUUAAGUCUGAUGUGAAAGCCCCCGGCUCAACCGGGGAGGGUCAUUGGAAACUGGGAAACUUGAGUGCAGAAGAGGAGAGUGGAAUUCCACGUGUAGCGGUGAAAUGCGUAGAGAUGUGGAGGAACACCAGUGGCGAAGGCGACUCUCUGGUCUGUAACUGACGCUGAGGAGCGAAAGCGUGGGGAGCGAACAGGAUUAGAUACCCGAGUAGUCCCUGUCUCUUAUAC
rnacentral:rRNA from 1 species